UUACUGGGAGUGAAGGCAGUGGAUCAUAGCUCUAAAAAGUUGUAUAGCUGCAGGUCGGCCACUGGCUUGAUAACAGUGAUAUAUGAAUAAAUCUUUCACCAACCAUUCACGUAUUUCCUGACAAAACAGACCCAAGUCUUGUUCAGCCUGAUGCUCAACCUUGUAUGAUGAUGACUGUUGCAAGGUGAUGGGAAUCUGUGAUAAUCACAGCCUGCGUCUCAAGAUCAACAUGACAAUAACAGACCAUCUCUUAUCUUAAUCUUAUCCGACUAAAUGUUCAACGUCACUGCGACAAAACAAAGAACAUUGUACUGUACCAUGAUUCAGCAAACAAAAUAUGGACUUUUUUGUUAGCUUCUACAAACAUUGACACAAUAUUGACUUUUAUUUUUACAUUUAGUAAUGUAUUAUUAACAUCUCAUUCAUUUGUAUUCUAUGCCAUCUAUCUGUUUGUGCUAAAGUGUUUACAUCUGAAUGUAAUGUCAUAAUAUGUUAAUAUUUAGUAUUUAUCAUUUGCAUGUUUUGAUGUUGCAUAUGUCAUGAUUUUAUUGAUUUCAUGUAAUUGUUGUCUAUUUAGAGUUAUUGUCCUUGCCAAAUUUUAUUGUUUAUUUAUUUAAUAUUAAAGCAGUUAUUUAACAUCCAUAUCUUAUUUGAGUAGUGAUUUG